rnacentral:rRNA from 1 species
AGUGGGGAAUUUUGGACAAUGGGGGCAACCCUGAUCCAGCCAUUCCGCGUGAGUGAAGAAGGCCUUCGGGUUGUAAAGCUCUUUCGGCAGGAACGAAACGGUGAGCUCUAACAUAGCUUGCUAAUGACGGUACCUGAAGAAGAAGCACCGGCUAACUACGUGCCAGCAGCCGCGGUAAUACGUAGGGUGCGAGCGUUAAUCGGAAUUACUGGGCGUAAAGCGUGCGCAGGCGGUUGUGUAAGACAGAUGUGAAAUCCCCGGGCUUAACCUGGGAACUGCGUUUGUGACUGCAUAACUCGAGUGUGGCAGAGGGGGGUGGAAUUCCACGUGUAGCAGUGAAAUGCGUAGAGAUGUGGAGGAACACCGAUGGCGAAGGCAGCCCCCUGGGUCAACACUGACGCUCAUGCACGAAAGCGUGGGGAGCAAACAGGAUUAGAUACCCUGGUAGUCCACGCCCUAAACGAUGCGAACUAGGUGUUGGGGAAGGAGACUUUCUUAGUACCGCAGCUAACGCGUGAAGUUCGCCGCCUGGG